UACCAGACUCCUACGGGAGGCAGCAGUCGGGAAUAUUGCGCAAUGGAGGAAACUCUGACGCAGUGACGCCGCGUAUAGGAAGAAGGUUUUCGGAUUGUAAACUAUUGUCGUUAGGGAAGAUAAAAGACUGUACCUAAGGAGGAAGCCCCGGCUAACUACGUGCCAGCAGCCGCGGUAAUACGUAGGGGGCAAGCGUUAUCCGGAUUUACUGGGUGUAAAGGGAGCGUAGGUGGCAUGGUAAGCCAGAAGUGAAAACCCAGGGCUCAACUCUGCGGAUUGCUUUUGGAACUAUCAAGCUAGAGUGCUGGAGGGGUAAGCGGAAUUCCUAGUGUAGCGGUGAAAUGCGUAGAUAUUAGGAGGAACACCGGUGGCGAAGGCGGCUUACUGGACAGAAACUGACACUGAGGCUCGAAAGCGUGGGGAGCAAACAGGAUUAGAUACCCGAGUAAC
rnacentral:rRNA from 1 species